AACAAACGCUGGCGGCGUGCCUAAUACACGCAAGUCGAACGGGGAAAGCUUUCGGGUGAGUACUAGUGGCGCACGGGUGAGUAACGCGUGGAUAAUCUGCCUUAGAGUGGGGGAUAACUAGUCGAAAGAUUAGCUAAUACCGCAUAAGACCACAAGAACUGCGGUUCAAGGGGUCAAAGGUUUUUCGCUCUAAGAUGAGUCCGCGUAAGAUUAGCUAGUUGGUAGGGUAACGGCCUACCAAGGCGACGAUCUUUAACUGGUCUGAGAGGAUGAUCAGUCACACUGGAACUGAGACACGGUCCGGACUCCUACGGGAGGCAGCAGUAGGGAAUAUUGCACAAUGGAGGAAACUCUGAUGCAGCGACGCCGCGUGAGUGAUGAAGGCCUUCGGGUCGUAAAGCUCUGUCGCAGGGGAAUAACACAAUGAAGGUACCCUGUAAGAAAGGAUCGGCUAACUUCGUGCCAGCAGCCGCCGUAAAAC
rnacentral:rRNA from 1 species